rnacentral:rRNA from 1 species
UGGUGGAGUGAUUUGUCUGGUUAAUUCCGUUAACGAACGAGACCUCGACCUGCUAACUAGCUUGCGUUCAUGGUUCACAUGGGUAAGCUUCUUAGAGGGACUUUGGCAUUGAAGGCUACAGGAAGUUCGAGGCAAUAACA